CUAGCGUACGUUCCGUUCGUCCCCGCAGGCCCUGCCUCUUCCUAUCCCUCCCUCUCCUGCCGCUGUACCUCACACACACAGUGUCCGGAGCUGGCGAGCCAGGCGAAUCGACACGGGGGUGCGACGAGGCUUCCUACGGCCAUUAAUGGGAGAGGAAGUGCGAUGUGGCUUCGCGCCUCGGCCUCAACUCGGCUCCAGGCGCCGGCGGUGCGAGCAGCACGAUAACGACCACCAUCGGAGGCCUCUGGAGACAGAAUCUACACCGUGGAUGCCCUUUUUCCUUUCCUCCCGUCGAGGUAUGAUGCUGCCGUAAAUCUUACUCCGUAGAUUGGCUGAUGAGGAUCGUGUUCCUCCAUUCCUUCUGUGCAGAUUUCUCAACCCGGAUCGCUAAAUUAAUUGUGUCUAACCUUAAAUUGUGCUUAGAUCCGUUGAGGAGAUCUUUCUUUUCUUUUGUUUGGGUAGUGCCCGUUCACCACUAUGAUAUGGAUUCUCCUACUAUCAAUUAGGAAUCACUUAUAUAUAACAUAUGAACAUGAAUUUAUCUUGUAUUACGCCUCUGUUGGUUUGAGUUCGUUUGUCGACAAUUCCUUCAUUAAAUCACAGUUUCUACAUGCCAUUACUGGUAAUCAUAUGUGCUGCUCGAGUUCUCCUAUAAUCGCAGGUCAGUUACAUCGUCGAUUCAUGCCGUCUUAUCCCGCAGCCAUGAUUGAUGCUUACUUGUCUUGCCCAUGGACUGUCUAACUUACUUCCUAUCUCUCCUUUUCCCCAAACUUGUGCAUAUCCAUUUUCUUAUUUAGACUAUUCUUUUUGUUCCAAAAUGAAUGCAGGUUUUUAAGCUGGUUGGAGCUUGUGGUUUGCUCUUUCCUGGUUCUGCUUGAUUAAAAGUACUUGCCUAGAUGACCUGCACUCAACAAGGAAGAUAAAAUAUGUGUUUGAGCUAUGGGAGUUAAAAUUAAUUGUGCAUGAGAUCUGUUGUUUUUUCAUACUCUGAAUUAUUGGUGAAGGUCAGGUCAGUACUAAUCCUAUAAUUUAAUUGUGUUUCUCUUGGUUCAUAGAUGUUCAAAUCUGAAUUAUUUGACUCAAUUCAGUUUUUCUGAAUGUUGUCUACAAAAUUGCAUCACUACAGUAUGCGAAUUCACUAUGCAUCAGUUUUCAGAAAGACAACUUAUGAAUAUGACGCGUCUCCAUUUCAGUACGAGUUUGAAUUUGGAGGCACUAAAUAUUUCUAUAUGACUUGUAUCACAUCAGUGGUUAGCUUACAAGUUAUUUAGUGAUUACUUCCAGACUGGUCCAUACAAGUUCACCGUUUCUUCAUGUUUUUGGUUAAGAUAUUUGACUACUAAGCUCCCUUUAAAUAAACUGGUUGUGCAGCGUCAUUGACUAUCCAAAUUUAAACAUGCACAUCUUCAAAUGCAUUUGUAAACCUUUGAUGAUUCUCCUCGAUGCAACCAAUUCAUGGGCACUUUCCUGCCCUCGACGUCUGCAGUUGUGCUGACGAAGUUUGAAUACUAAUCUGAAGUAUUUGUGUUGUCGUGAGAAGAAAUGUAGAGAAGUGAUCAAUGAGCGGCUCAAGGUGCUGCAGAACCUUAUCCAUAACGGAACCAAUGUGAGAUGUUUUUAAAUCUUAAAUUCUUAAUAGUUCGAACUGCUACUGGAACAAAUUUUAUACUCGAUCGUACAUCUGGCGAAUGGUGAUGUGGUUCUAAAUUUCUAAUGUGUUUAAGACUCUGGAUUCCAGGUGGAAAUCAGCAUGAUGAAGUUCACUACAUCAAGUUCAUGCAACUCUAGAUCAUAUCGGGUUCUUGCAAAAUUACAAUCACAUAUUACCUUUAUUUAAUUAAGAAUCUCGUGAUCUCUUUCAUGACUGCAUUUUUUUAUCUUUAGAAAUUUUUCUAUGCAAAUUAUACAUUCUAUUGUAAAAUGAGACAGGCAUGGCAACAUGCACUACUUUGAGGCGACACUUCAUGAAAUUUAAUUUUUCA